AACGAACGCUGGCGGCGUGCUUAACACAUGCAGGUCGAACGGUAAGGCCCUUCGGGGUACACGAGUGGCGAACGGGUGAGUAACACGUGGGUGAUCUGCCCUGCACUUCGGGAUAAGCCUGGGAAACUGGGUCUAAUACCGGAUAGGACCACUGCCUGCAUGGGUGGUGGUGGAAAGCUUUUGCGGUGUGGGGUGGGCCCACGGCCUAUCAGCUUGUUUGUGGGGGGAUGGCCUACCAAGGCGACGACGGGUAGCCGGACUGAGAGGGGGACCGGCCACAAGAGGACGGAGAUACGACCAAGAGUCGUACGUGGGGCAGAGGUGGGGAAUAUUGCACAGUGGGCGCAAGCCUGAUGCAGCGACGCCGGGUGAGGGAUGUCGGUCUUCGGGUUGUAAACGUCUUUCAGCACCGACGAAGCGCAAGUGACGGUGGGUGCAGAAGAAGGACCGGCCAACUACGUGCCAGCCGCCGCCGUAACAC
rnacentral:rRNA from 1 species